GCCAGGCGCAGUGGUGCAGGCCUGUAAUCCCAGCAUCUUGGGAGGCUGAGGCAGGAAGAUCUUGAGCUCAAAGUCAGCCUUAGCAACUUAGUGAGGCCCUCAGCAACUCAGCGAGACCCUGUCUCUA
rnacentral:sRNA from 1 species